rnacentral:lncRNA from 1 species
UUAAUGUUUAAUUAGAAUUAGAAUAGAAUAUAAAAUUGUAUAGAUUUUUUAAAAAAAUAAUUUUGUUAAAAAAGUGGAGAUAUUUUAAUAUUUUAUACGUGUUAGUGGACAACCAUGCUUAGUCGCACUUUAAUAAUGCUAAUAAAUAUAUAUAUGCAUAGUUCGGCUGCUAUACUCUUACGAGUACAAUCGCCUUCGUACUCAUAAAUCGUUUUUGAUGAUAGAGUUUCAGAAUCGAUGAUCCGUGUCGUUGAAUAUUAUAUCUAGUGCAUUUAAAAUUUUUAAAAAUCAAAUUUCAUAAUUUUUCGACAUCAUUUACCUUACAAUCAAAAGCUCACAAAAUUGACAAUUUUUAAUGACCGAUAUAGAAUACUUGCUAGUUUAACGGUGUAAAAAAAUUAGAAUAGGUUGAAUAUUUGAUAAAAAAUUUUAUUUACUACCUAGAUAAAGAUCAAUAACUACGACCUUAAAUUGAAGGGUCCGAUCAUCUAUUUUUAAGACGCUAUUCGAUUUUGACUAUUUAUUUUAUGCCUGUUUGAUAGAUUUUAUUAUGAUUUUGAAAAAUUAUGAAAUUAAUUUUUUAUAAGUUUCAAAUACUCUAGAUUAUAUUUAACAUAGUGGAUCAUCGAUUCAAAAGCUCCAUCAUCGAAAAUAAUUUAUGAAUACGAAGGACUCUAAACUCAUAAGAGUAGUAGCUCUAUUACUUUUAUAUAUAUAUAUAUAUAUAUAUAUAUAAAGAGGGAGAGAGAGAGAGUUUGGGCCACUAUACUAUUAAUAGUGUCAAGUGUUUGGUGCUAUGCCUUUAAAUCUAUCAUUUUGAUCAUUUCCACAUGUUAGAUCAUAUUAUUCAAUCAACUACCCACUUAAUUCUAGAGGACGACUAUCAUUCUAAUUAGAGACUACUAUCAUCCUAACCACACAUCUUUUCAUCCAAUAGCCGAAAACCUAAUUGUACCAAGCGUUUAGUACUAUUAAUAGUAUAAUAACCUAAUUAUAUAUAUAUAUAUAUAUAUAUAUAUAUA